ACGGGGAUAGCCAGAGAAUUUGGAUUAAUACCCGAUAGUAUUAUAAUAAGGCAUCUUGUUGUAAUUAAAGCUAUGGCGGAUAAGGAUGAGCGUGCGCAAGAUUAGCUAGUUGGUGAGGUAACGGCUCACCAAGGCGACGAUCUUUAGCUGAUGUGAGAGCAUGAUCAGCCACACGGGCACUGAGACACGGGCCCGACUCCUACGGGAGGCAGCAGUGAGGAAUAUUGGUCAAUGGACGGAAGUCUGAACCAGCCAUGCCGCGUGAAGGAUGAAGGCGUUCUGCGUUGUAAACUUCUUUUAUUUAGGAAGAAACCACCGAUUUCUAUUGGUGUUGACGGUAUUAAAUGAAUAAGCACCGGCUAACUCCGUG
rnacentral:rRNA from 1 species